rnacentral:lncRNA from 1 species
UCAAAAACAACUGACCAGUUCUCAUGAUGUCCAUGAACUUUCAAUGAAAAUAUUUCCUAUUGUAAAAUGUUUGGUCAUAGUUAAUAUUAAAUGCUAUAGAUAAAUAAAUAAAAAAAAAAGAUUUAAAAAAAGGCAACAAAGCUCAACAAAGAUUUUGGUAGUUAUGAAACUGCAAUAUGGGGUGUGUGUGCCACAGAAGCAUCACUCUACCAAGAUAUUCAGAAUAUCUCACAGUUUUUUAGCAUAUCUGUUUCACAUAUACAGGUGUGCCAUUGAUAAGCAUGCAGUAAUGCACUGGUGCAAAACAGAAAAUACACUAAUUUUACAGGUAAAAGCAAUGAUUGGUUAGAAAAUAACCAAAUAAUUGCCAUCUAAUUUGGGCUUGCAAGCAUAAAAUGUGCAUAGCUUGAGUGCCUUUGUGUACUUGGCCUUUUCUAGCUGUUACAAAUGAUCUCUGGAUCCUUGCUACAGCAAAAGACAAGAUAGAGACAUUGUCUUCAGCUGUGUUUGAGGGUGUUCAUCUCUUAAAUUCGUCUUCUACUGUUGAAAUCACAACAGCAGUAAAUGUCUGCAGCUGAGACCUUGCAAUGCAUUUUCCUGAUUGAAUACUGUCAGCAGGGGGAGCGUCAACAGCACAGGAUAGUCUCCUACAGGAGUUACUGGGUCUUCUUGGGAGGAAAAGGGACAGACCUGCUGAAUCAGAAAGGCAGGAUUUUGGCCAAGUUUGUACUGAAUAUCAGGAUGUGGACAAAAGGAGAAGCUUUGGUCCUGCUUCUGCAUUGCAAAUUAAAGCAGGCACACUUGAAAGUGUAGGAUAUAAUUUGCUUGUAGAAGUAUAUGGAAUCAUGAAGACUUCACAAAAGUGGCUGUUUCAUACUUCCAGAAGUGUGCACUACUCUCUGAAAUGGCAUCCAUUGAACAAAACUUUCAAAACUUUAACAUACAGAUGCGUAUUCUGAGAUUUCCCCCCCCCAUAAUUUCCUCUAUUAUGGAUACAGAAAGAUCUGGGAGAAGAUGUCUCACCAUUUAAAAUAGAUCUAGGUAUAUGUUAAAACAAGUGAAACUAACCGCUUAUAUUUUGACAUACAUAAAAAUGUUUUCAUUGGGUCAAUAACUACUAUUUAUUUUCAAAAGGUGGUUCUCAAGUUUAAGGAAGCUACAGCAAAAUGAAAAUCCUAUUGAUCCAAUACAGUCAAAAAUGUUCUGAAGUUCCCCAGCAGGUUUGCUAACUGUAGGAACACUAUGUCUUGUUGAUUAAACAGAAUGACUUAUUCAAACUGGAAAAUCUUCGUGGGUCAGGUAAAUUUCUGGACUUAUUUUUGAAGAGAAAUAGAGAACAAACUGUGCUUUAAAACAAUAGUAGCCUGAAAAAUCAUAAUUUGUCAGUGUGUUAUCGCUAACGGAAUUGAUUGUAUUCUUAAAACAAAACAAAACAAAAACAACCAAACAAAACCACUAGAGUGAUGAUGAUGAUGAUGAUAAUGAUUUUUUAAUCUGGGAAAAUGUAUUGUUUCUGACAAAAUAUCCUUAAAUUAAAACAAAGUUUGAUGGUCUCCAUUUCAACUUGAUCACAAUAUUUUGUUGUUUUUAUGUCAAAAUAUUUUGUCAUAAAAUUAUAUAAUAUACUGUAAAUUACAAUACAAGUAAUAAGCUUUGACACAAUCUCUUUUGAUUUGACCUGAAACAGUUUUUCUGGGGACGGGAGAAAAAUGUGCACCACUCUGGAGAGUGAAUACAUGAUGGGCAACAUCGAAAUAUGCUCUUUAAAACCACAAACCUUUCAGCUGCUGGCAGUAGUUCACUCCUGAUAAAUACAAGAUGACUCCAUUGCACCGUGAGUGUAAUCAUGCUGUGAGACUGCAGAGCCAGCUUUGAAUUGCAGAACACUUGAAUUUGAGUGAGACAUUUGUUGAUGAGAUGUGAUGAGACAGAACUGUAUUAUUUUUCUUGCAAACCUUAUGUACCAUCUGAAAUCUGUAUCGUUAUUGCAAACUUACCUCAGGUUAAACCGCUCUCUACUUUCAUUGUAAAUUUACAUAUGAAGAUAACAGAAGUUGUAAGGAAGAGAAAGAAAAGGGAUUUCUGGUAAACUACAGACUUGAAGCAUUUUGUGCUGACUUCAGAACAAAAGUCCAAACUUCAGCAUCUUUCUAGACCGUUAAGCCUUUUGAACAUCUUUCAUCUUAAUUACCCAUCCAUCUCAGCAAUCAGCCUAUUGUUACUGAGGAAAUACCCCUUGAGAAGAAUAUUAGGAAAUCCAUUUCAGUGAUUAUUUUAUAAGGAAUAAUGACCACUUUGUUUCAUUAGUGGCUUUCUGGUUCUAAUCAGACAUUUAUUUUUCACAUUCACCAAACAAGGAUGUGCAGCAUAUGUUAAGGGAAAUGUGUGUGUACCAUAUGGCUGAGAAGAAUAAAUUCUGUAUAAAAUAGGAAGGGUGAAUGAGG